rnacentral:RNase_P_RNA from 1 species
CAACAAAGCGGCGCGAUCGCGUCAUAUUAUGCCGAAAGGUCGUAUGGCGAGGAAAGUCCGGGCUUCAAGGGCAGGAUAACGGAUAACGUCCGCCGAGGGUGACAUCAGGAAAAGUGCAACAGAAAUAAACCGCCGCGCAAGCGGUAAGGAUGGAAAGGCGAGGUAAGAGCUCACCAUCCCCUUGGUGACAAGGGGAGUCAUGUAAACUCUAUCCGAAGCAACGCCGUGGGAACGGGCCUUGCCCGACGGUUGCCCGCCGUAUUUUCU